CAGGUAAAGGUCGAGCGCUUCCAGAUCGGCCGGCAUGGCGACGAGGCAUCGAUGAAACGGCACGUCGACGGCCGCGAACGCGCCCGCGCUGUCAACACGCCAGGGCACACCGGCGAUGCGCACCCCGCCAAAUGCCGGGCAGUUGUGGGCGGCCGGGCGUGCCGGCAACAGCAACGACUCGAUCGUGAUGAGCACCCCGCGCCGCCAUGUCGCCGUCACCGUGUCGCCGCACGACGUGGUCUGUACCAGACGGCCGUGAGGCUGGCCCGCGCGCCACCGGCCGCUCACCGUGAUGACGUGCGGCUGUGCCGGGGAUGGAUGCGCCGAUCGGUCCGCGCAGGUAUCGCCUCUGUGGGCGCCAUCAUGGUGGCCCCCGCGGACGCUAUCGUGGUCGCACCCGGCCUCGACGAUGCGCACUCCGAUGCCGUGUGCCACCCCUUUGGCAAACGUGCCCGUGUGCGUCAUGCCCGAUGCCGCGCACAUGCGUGCGGUACCUUCAACGUGGCCGUCGCGCCAUGUGCCCCAUGCCCACUCGGUCCACCGCCAUGGUGAAGAACCAGUAUCGUCGUGUGGGCCGUUGCGUGUACCGUCGUCUCUGGCGUCGUUGUCCACGGCGGAAAUGCUCGCACGAUGCUCGACAGAGUCCUUGGUGGCUACGGCACGCAUGCCAAACCCGGCGAGGUUGCCGCACUCGUCGAGAUCGCCCAGUUGGAUGACGAUUUUGGUCGUGCCUCGGACGCGCUCGAUGUGCACCGAGUGCCCCGCACGCUGGCGCACGCGACGCGACAACAGCCGGCGCACCCACCACGAGGGCGAAGGGGCGCCAGGCGAUUGGCAAUGAGGGUCCGAGAGGAGCGCGACGCGUCUGCGCAUGGCGACAUAAAGCCACUUCCAUGAUCGUGUGGCGUCGCGCAAGAGCAGCGUGGGCGGCGGGGCUUCGGGCAUGGGCGGUGUCGACGUCGUCAUGUCGCGCGCGGCGACCGCGUCAAACCACACGCGAUCGCGCGGCUCUGUAAUAGCGCGCCCGGCGAGCGAAAGGAUCAAAGGUGCGCGCGAGCAGCGCCGACACACGCCCUCCCAAAGACCUGCAUCGUCGGCCAAUGCACAAAGGCGUGUGCACGUGCCCGAUACGCGCGCUAGGUCGACGCCAUCCAACCAUGUCAGCACGGCACGCACCAUCUCGUCGGGCAGAUGGUCGAAUGCGCCACCGGGCUCGUGCGCCGGGGCCAUCGUCUGUGUGCGCUCUUGCGUGCGACGCAUUUUUCUUCUGACAAAAGAGGGGAAAAAGACGACAAGGCCAAAAGGACGAGCAGACGACGACGAUGCGCAAAAACCUCGGCGCCGCUGUGUUGCGCCGUGUCGCGGUCGAGAAGGAGGAAAAAAAGAGAGAAGACAAAAGAAGGAGGAAGAGAAAACAAGGGGCGACACAAGGGAAUCGGCGCCAUGCGCCAGGGGGGAAAAAGACUGCACGCGCCAUAGGGCGAUGCAAUACAUGCGAUUGGUGGA
rnacentral:lncRNA from 1 species